rnacentral:lncRNA from 10 species
GUUUGCUCCCGGUUGUAGGGAGGGUUGGGAGAGGACACAGUAUGAAGGCGGCACCCCGCAUUCAUCCAGUGGACUCUGCUUAAGAAAAACUCAAUGAGUGGCAUGGUGUGCAAAUCAUUUUUAUUGUACUUUACAGAAGUAUCUGUCCAUAACGGAUUGGAAUUAAUUAACAAACAAACACAAACAAGACUGGUCCUACAUCCGUAGCUUCUUUGAGAAACAAUGCUUUUGGCCGUGCCAUUUCAAGUCAAGAAGAGAGAUUCUGAAAAAUAUGAAAACAUCUAAGGCUUGCCCCAGUCUGGGCAAAACGCAUGAGCACUCACGCCUGAGGGGCCGGACUAACUUGGAAGGCAUGGGUUAUCAUUUCUUUGUGUCCUCAGAUUUCCCAGUGUCCACCCUGCCAUAGGGAAGUCGGGGGGCAGGCAUUCGUGGGGGACCUGGGGCUAAGUCAUCCCAUCUCCUGGCGCCCCAGUUUCCUCUCCUGCAACUGGGUCACCGGCAAGUGGGUCAGAGGUGCAGUUCUUCCCUGAUGUGGCUGCUGCCUGCUCCGAAGAAGCAGAUCUUUGUCAGCCUCCAGAGCUGCAGAAGGACACUAUCUUGGGCAUGAAUAUCCCACAGCAGCAGUGCUUUUCUUCUCUCUCCGCCGGACCUGGCUCAUUCUUGUCUGGCAGAGGAACAAGCGAUUUCUUUUUAUGAGCCUGCAAACCUCCAGCCUCCCAGCCUCCCAGCUGGCUGGGUGCCAGGGCUGGGCCUGACACACAGGCUGACGUCCCCACCCAGACCCAUGGUCCUGGCUGCUCCGAAUUCUGGAGCGUCUGAGUCACCAUGCCUGAGCCGGCGGCGUCUCCAUGAAAGAGUUCAGAAGAAUAAAGGAACAGGCUCUCCUAUGGGCCUGCUGAUAGCAAUCUAUCAGCAUGACUACAUUUUGGCCUCCUUUUUUUGCUGCCUCUAAUCCAGCAAAGCAGGCUGUGGGUGUCUGAUGGUGAACUGCCUAGCAGGGGAGGGAGUCCAUCAGAGUUCCCUUCCCAAAGGCGAUCGUGUGGGGAGUGUAAACCUCCCUCUGUCCUUCCCCCACAGUACUGUUGGUUUCUGCGCA